UACGGGGGGGGCAAGCGUUGUUCGGAAUUACUGGGCGUAAAGGGCUCGUAGGCGGCCAACUAAGUCAGACGUGAAAUCCCUCGGCUUAACCGGGGAACUGCGUCUGAUACUGGAUGGCUUGAGUUUGGGAGAGGGAUGCGGAAUUCCAGGUGUAGCGGUGAAAUGCGUAGAUAUCUGGAGGAACACCUGUGGCGAAAGCGGCUCACUGGACCAUAACUGACGCUGAUGCACGAAAGCUGGGGGAGCAAACAGG
rnacentral:rRNA from 1 species